CCUACGGGAGGCAGCAGUGAGGAAUAUUGGUCAAUGGACGCAAGUCUGAACCAGCCAUGCCGCGUGCAGGAAGACGGCUCUAUGAGUUGUAAACUGCUUUUGUACGAGGGUAAACGCAGAUACGCGUAUCUGUCUGAAAGUAUCGUACGAAUAAGGAUCGGCUAAUUCCGUGCCAGCAGCCGCGGUAAUACGGAGGAUUCAAGCGUUAUCCGGAUUUAUUGGGUUUAAAGGGUGCGUAGGCGGUCGGAUAAGUUAGAGGUGAAAUCCCGAGGCUCAACUUCGGACUUGCCUCUGAUAAUGUUCGGCGAGAGAGUAGUUGCGGUAGGCGGAAUGUAUGGUGUAGCGGUGAAAUGCUUAGAGAUCAUACAGAACACCGAUUGCGAAGGCAGCUUACCAAGCUACUUCUGACGUUGAGGCACGAAAGCGUGGGGAGCAAACAGGAUUAGAUACCCGUGUAGUC
rnacentral:rRNA from 1 species